rnacentral:misc_RNA from 1 species
GAUGAAGAACGCAGCGAAAUGCGAUAAGUAAUGUGAAUUGCAGAAUUCAGUGAAUCAUCGAAUCUUUGAACGCACCUUGCGCCCUUUGGACAUUCCGAAGGGCAUGCCUGUUUGAGUAUCAUGAACACCUCAACUCUCACGGCUUGUCCGUGAUGAGCUUGGACUUUGGGGGUAUUGCCGGCCUGUGGUCGGCUCCUCUCAAAUGGAUCAGCUUGCCAGUGUUUGGUGGCAUCACAGGUGUGAUAACUAUCUGCGCUUGUGGUUUUCCAUCAGAUAACCUUCAGUGAUAUGGAGGUUCGCUGGAGCUCACAAAUGUCUCUCCUUAGUGAGGACAGCUCUUUGAACGUUUGAUCUCAAAUCAGGUAGGACUACCCGCUGAACUUAAGCAUAUCAAUAAGCGGAGGA